AACGUAGGAGACAAACGUUAUCCGGAGUUACUGGGCGUAAAGCGCGUGUAGGUGGUGGGGCAAGUCGGAUGUGAAAGCCCAGGGCUCAACCCUGGAAGUGCAUUCGAUACUGCUUCACUGGAGUCCCGGAGAGGAUGGUGGAACUCUCGGUGUAGAGGUGAAAUUCGUAGAUAUCGAGAAGAACACCGGCGGCGAAGGCGGCCAUCUGGACGGUGACUGACACUGAGACGCGAAAGCGUGGGGAGCAAACAGG
rnacentral:rRNA from 1 species